AUUGAACGCUGGCGGCAUGCUUUACACAUGCAAGUCGAACGGCAGCGCGGGCUUCGGCCUGGCGGCGAGUGGCGAACGGGUGAGUAAUGCAUCGGAACGUGCCCAGUAGUGGGGGAUAGCCCGGCGAAAGCCGGAUUAAUACCGCAUACGACCUGAGGGUGAAAGCGGGGGACCGAAAGGCCUCGCGCUAUUGGAGCGGCCGAUGUCGGAUUAGCUAGUUGGUGGUGUAAAGGCUUACCAAGGCGACGAUCCGUAGCUGGUCUGAGAGGACGACCAGCCACACUGGGACUGAGACACGGCCCAGACUCCUACGGGAGGCAGCAGUGGGGAAUUUUGGACAAUGGGGGCAACCCUGAUCCAGCCAUGCCGCGUGCGGGAAGAAGGCCUUCGGGUUGUAAACCGCUUUUGUUCGGGAAGAAAUCCUCUGGGCUAAUACCCCGGGGGGAUGACGGUACCGGAAGAAUAAGCACCGGCUAACUACGUG
rnacentral:rRNA from 1 species